AAUUACAAACGAUGCAUUGAAGUCGAAUAAUGGCGAGCAAGCCAAAAAUAUUAGGUGGGCGGAAGUUUCCUUUGUGUGGGGAAGUAUUUCAACCAUUUGACUGAUCGUCACCAAGGAUUGGUCGCUGUACUCGGCUGGGGAACUCUCUCUCUUCCUUGGGCUUUGCUUCCCCCUCUGCGUUCCCCAGUUAAGAACGAAGAGGGUUAGUGGUUGGUCUAUCAUCUCUUUCAAGGUCUUGAAAUUGUUGUGAAGAAAUGCUUGUCUCUGCCCUUUUCACAUCUCUUGGAAUAAAUUCUGGCCUUUGUGUUUUUUUCUUCGUAUUGUACUCUAUAUUGAGGAAACAACCACGUUAUUAUCAAGUGUUUCUGCCACGCUUGCUGGCUCAAGGAAAUUCUAAACGAAGAAGGCAUUUCAACCUUGAAAGGCUAAUACCUUCUACUAGUUGGGUGAAAAGGGCAUGGAGCAUAUCCGAAGAUGACCUAAUUUCAUCUUCAGGCUUGGAUGCUGCAGUUUUCAUUCGCAUGAUAACUUUCUGUUUGAAAGUAUUUUCACUCGCUGGCAUAAUUGGGCUCUUUGUUCUUCUUCCAGCGAACACUGCAGGAAAUCAGCUUGAAGAAAUCGACUUUACCAAUUUAUCAAAUAAUUCUUUGGAUGUAUUUACAAUUUCAAAUGUAAAAAUUGGCUCAAAAAGUUUGUGGAUUCACUUCAGUGCCGUGUAUAUUGUCACCGGAUUUGUCUGCUAUCUACUUUAUUAUGAAUACAAGUACAUAUCUUCAAAGAGGAUUGCCUAUUUUUGUUCAUCCAAGCCUCAGCCACAUCAGUUUACCAUCUUAGUACGCAGUAUCCCUAUUUCAGUUGGGAACAGCAUCAGCGACAGCGUUGAGAGUUUCUUUAAGGAGUAUUAUCCUUCGACGUAUCUCUCCCAUGUGGUUGUUCAUCGAACGAGCAAACUUCGAAAUCUCAUUGGGGAUGCGAAGAGAUUGUACAAAAGUCUCAUUCACUUGCAAUCAGAUCCCACUCGACUGAAGGAUAAGCAUGUUGGAUUGUUUGGGCGCAAGGCUGAUCUUGCUGAUCGUCAUGUGAGAAAGUUAGAAGAUAUCGAGAAGAAUGUACGACUGGAGCAGUCAGAAGUAUCGUUGGGACGAGAGGAAACUCGAGCUGCCUUUGUGUCCUUCAAAUCUCGGUAUGGUGCUGCAAUUGCUUUUCACUUGCAACAGUCAAUCAAUCCCACACAAUGGAUCACAGAGCAAGCUCCUGAACCUCAUGAUGUCUACUGGCCAUUUUUUUCGUCAUCCUUCAUGCGGAAAUGGAUUUCUAAACUCGUGGUUGUUGUAGCAUGUAGUCUUCUUACAGUUUUAUUCCUUAUUCCAGUUGUGGUCGUGCAAGGUCUUACUAACCUGACUCAGUUGGAAAUGUUGUUUCCAUUCCUGAAAAUCCUUGUCACAAUAAAAUUUGUACGUCAAGUGAUUACUGGAUACCUUCCCAAUCUCAUUCUUCUGUUAUUUCUGAAGACUGUGCCUCCAAUCAUGAGGUUCCUUUCUUCUAUUCAAGGAUAUAUUUCACAUAGCGAGAUAGAAAAGAGUGCAUGUAACAAAGUACUCUGGUUCACAAUAUGGAACAUCUUUUUUGCAACUCUAUUUUCUGGAUCAUUUUUUUAUCAGCUUUCUAUCAUCCUUGAGCUCAAAAAUAUUCCUGCAAAGCUGGCUGUUGCUGUUCCUGCACAGGCAUCAUUUUUCAUUGCUUAUGUUGUCACAUCAGGAUGGACAAGUGCUGCAUCAGAAGUCGUUCGUGUAAUUCCUCUAAUUAGGAGUCUUGUUUGUACCAAUGAUGAUCUUGAAGUUCCAUCUAUUCCGUAUUACAGGGACAUUCCAAGAAUUCUGUUCUUUGGACUUCUUGGUACAACAUAUUUCUUCCUAGCUCCACUAAUUCUGCCAUUCCUUCUGAUCUAUUUCUGCUUUGCCUACACCAUCUUCCGUAAUCAGUUCCUAAAUGUCUACGCACCCAAGUACGAAACUGCCGGAAAGUUUUGGCCGAUAGUGCACAACUCAAUGAUAUUUUCUCUGGUGCUCAUGCAUGCAAUAGCUGUUGGGAUCUUUACACUAAAGAAGCUCUCACUUGCAUCAACUUUAAUUUUUCCUCUUCCCGUCCUUACCCUUCUGUUUAAUGAGUACUGCAGAAAGCGCUUCCUACCCAUUUUCGUCGCUUAUUCUGCUGAGGUUUUGAUAAAAAAGGACAGGGAAGAGCAGAAUGAUCCUGCAAUGGUUGGAUUUUUCGAGGAAUUGAUCACUGCCUAUAAGGACCCUGCUUUGUUGCCUAUUCAGUAUUCUACAUACACUGACAGCCUUAAUACCCCUCUUAUGUCUUCUGCUGUUUGAGGCUGAGGUUGGUUUCUACGAAGCUUAUGAUUUAUGGUAUAUUUCAAGAACAAACGAUGAGCAUGUCAUUAUUGUAACAAGUGUCCUCCACUAUAGAAAAUUUUUAAAAGAAACAAGCCGAACAAGUUGAGUUCGAGUUCGGGGAUGCAGAAAAUGCACUUGCUGGAAUAGGAAUAGAAGAGUAAAGCUUGGGUUGAACUAAGUUAGUAUUAUCGACUGAAAGGGUAACUUCUGUAGAGCGAGCUCUUCUUAGUUUUUAGUGGUACGACACAUAGGUCAGUCUCCUAGGGUGGGUUUGGAUUGAGGGAUUUGGGGAAUAGAAGGUAGAAUACUUUUUUCCUCUUUCAUGUUCGGAUAAAAAAAAAAGAAGG